rnacentral:ncRNA from 1 species
CAAAAGCUUGGUCCUGACUUUUCUAUCGGCUUAAGCCAAAAUUACACAUGCAAGUAUCCGCAUCCCCGUGAGAAUGCCCCACAGUUCCCUGCUCGGGAACAAGGAACUGGUAUCAGGCACAUAUGAACUAUAGCCCAAGACACCUUGUUAAGCCACACCCUCAAGGGAACCCAGCAGUGAUAAACAUUAAGCAAUGAGUGCAAACUUGACUUAGUUAUGGUUUUUAAGGGCCGGUAAAACUCGUGCCAGCUACCGCGGUUAUACGAGAGGCCCAAGUUGACAGACACCGGCGUAAAGAGUGGUUAAGGACAAAUAUUUCACUAAAGCUGAACACUUACAAAGCUGUCAUACGCAUCCGAGAGUAAGAAAAACAACUACGAAAGUGGCUUUAUAACACCUGAACCCACGAAAGCCAAGACACAAACUGGGAUUAGAUACCCCACUAUGCUUUGCCAUAAACAUUGAUAGUUAUUUACACCGACUAUCCGCCCGGGUACUACGAGCAACAGCUUAAAACCCAAAGGACUUGGCGGUGCUUUAGACCCAUCUAGAGGAGCCUGUUCUAAAACCGAUAAUCCCCGUUCAACCUCACCUUUUCUUGUUCUUCUCCGCCUAUAUACCGCCGUCGUCAGCUUACCCUAUGAAGGCCCUUCAGUAAGCAUAAUUGGUACAACCCAAAACGUCAGGUCGAGGUGUAGCGUAUGAAAAGGGAAGAAAUGGGCUACAUUCCCUGCAUCAGGGAAUUACGAAAAAUAUUACUGAAACGUAUAUCUAGAAGGAGGAUUUAGCAGUAAGCAGAAAAUAGAGAGUUCUACUGAAACUGGCCCUGAAGCGCGCACACACCGCCCGUCACUCUCCCCAAGCGUACACUUAUAAGAUACCUUAAAACCCUUUAACAGCAAAGGGGAGGCAAGUCGUAACAUGGUAAGUGUACCGGAAGGUGCACUUGGCAAAAA